GACGUAGGGCGCGAGCGUUGUCCGGAUUUAUUGGGCGUAAAGAGCUCGUAGGCGGCUUGUCGCGUCGAAUGUGAAAUCUCAGGGCUCAACUCUGACAUUGCAUUCGAUACGGGCAGGCUCGAGUUCGGUAGGGGGAGACUGGAAUUCCUGGUGUAGCGGUGAAAUGCGCAGAUAUCAGGAAGAACACCCGUGGCUAAGGCGGCUCUCUAGUAACGGGUACUGACGCUGAGACGCGAAAAGCGUGGGGGAGCGAACAGG
rnacentral:rRNA from 1 species